rfam:Erwinia sp. EM595 isolate E_g_EM595 genome assembly, chromosome: 1
CAGGACGAGCCGACAGGACGUCGGCGAGAGGGAAGCGCCGCGCCAUGGAGGGCGCGUCGCGAGUGGUCCGUCAGGAA